rnacentral:rRNA from 1 species
AUUGAACGCUGGCGGCAGGCCUAACACAUGCAAGUCGAACGGUAGCACGGAGAGCUUGCUCUCGGGUGACGAGUGGCGGACGGGUGAGUAACGUCUGGGAAACUGCCCGAUGGAGGGGGAUAACUACUGGAAACGGUAGCUAAUACCGCAUAACGUCGCAAGACCAUAGUGGGGGACCUUCGGGCCUCACACCAUCGAAUGUGCCCAGAUGGGAUUAGCUAGUAGGUGGGGUAAUGGCUCACCUAGGCGACGAUCCCUAGCUGGUCUGAGAGGAUGACCAGCCACACUGGAACUGAGACACGGUCCAGACUCCUACGGGAGGCAGCAGUGGGGAAUAUUGCACAAUGGGCGCAAGCCUGAUGCAGCCAUGCCGCGUGUAUGAAGAAGGCCUUCGGGUUGUAAAGUACUUUCAGCGGGGAGGAAGGCGGUGAAGUUAAUAGCUUCACCGAUUGACGUUACCCGCAGAAGAAGCACCGGCUAACUCCGUGCCAGCCGCCGCAGUAA